UGGGGAAUAUUGGACAAUGGGGGCAACCCCUGAUCCAGCCAUGCCGCGUGUGUGAAGAAGGCCUUUUGGUUGUAAAGCACUUUAAGCAGGGAGGAGAGGCUAAUGGGUUAAUACCCAUUAGAUUAGACGUUACCUGCAGAAUAAGCACCGGCUAAACUCUGUGCCAGCAGCCGCGGUAAUACAGAGGGUGCGAGCGUUAAAUCGGAAGUUACUGGGCGUAAAGCGAGUGUAGGUGGCUCAUUAAAGUCACAUGUGAAAUCCCCGGGCUUAAACCUGGGAACUGCCAUGUGAUACUGGUGGUGCUAGAAUAUGUGAANAGGGAAGUAGAAUUCCCAGGUGUAGCGGUGAAAUGCGUAGAGAUCUGGAAGGAAUACCGAUGGCGAAGCAGCUUCCUGGCAUAAUAUUGACACUGAGAUUCGAAAGCGUGGGUAGCAAACAGGAUUAGAUACCCUGGUAGUCCACGCCGUAAAACGAUGUCUACUAGCCGUUGGGGUCCUUGAGACUUUAGUGGCGCAGUUAACGCGAUAAGUAGACCGCCUGGGGAG
rnacentral:rRNA from 1 species